GACGAACGCUGGCGGCGUGCUUAACACAUGCAAGUCGAACGGAAAGGCCCUGCUUUUGUGGGGUGCUCGAGUGGCGAACGGGUGAGUAACACGUGAGUAACCUGCCCUUGACUUUGGGAUAACUUCAGGAAACUGGGGCUAAUACCGGAUAGGAGCUCCUGCUUCAUGGUGGGGGUUGGAAAGUUUCGGCGGUUGGGGAUGGACUCGCGGCUUAUCAGCUUGUUGGUGGGGUAGUGGCUUACCAAGGCUUUGACGGGUAGCCGGCCUGGGAGGGUGACCGGGCCACAUGGGGAUGAGGAUACGGCCAGAACCCUAACGGAGGCAACAGGGGGGAAUAAUGCACCAUGGGCGGAAGCCCGAUGCAGGCACGCCGCGUGGGGGAUGGAGGCCUUCGGGUUGUAAACCCCUUUUGCCUGUGAAGAAGCGUGGGUGAAGGUAAUUGGUAAAGAAGGACCGGCUAAAUUAGGG
rnacentral:rRNA from 1 species